rnacentral:rRNA from 1 species
UACGGUGGGGGCAAGCGUUGUUCGGAAUUACUGGGCGGAAAGGGCUCGUAGGUGGCCAACUAAGUCGGACGUGAAAUCCCUCGGCUUAACCGGGGAACUGCGUCCGAUACUGGUUGGCUUGAGUUUGGGAGAGGGAUGCGGAAUUCCAGGUGUAGCGGUGAAAUGCGUAGAUAUCUGGAGGAACACCGGUGGCGAAGGCGGCAUCCUGGACCAAUACUGACGCUGAGGAGCGAAAGCCAGGGGAGCAAACGGG